ensembl:snRNA U6 U6 spliceosomal RNA
AUGUGUACUAAAAAUAAAUAAAUAAAAUGGAACAGUACAGAGAAGAUGAGCGUGGCCCCUGCACAGGGAUGACACGCAAAUUUGUGAUGCAUUCCAUUAAAAA